AAAGCAUUGAAAAAUGGCCGCACAGCUUUUCAGCCUGCACCGCUGGUGAACCCAUCGUUUCCUCAGUCUAAAUUGAAGGAGUGAGGUGUCCUUCCCUGUUAGGAGAUAAACCACCUAAACAAGUGAUUGGGAGAUGGACCUUCCCAUUGCCUUGGGGUGUGUUCCAGAAAAAGGUCCUGAGCCUACUGGUCGACAUCCGCCAUCGCCUGAAGGAAACGCAGCCUGCCUCUUCAGCUGUCCAUAUAGAGAGGAUUGACACCAUGGAGGACUUUGAGUUGCAGGAGCAACACCUCUCUGAUGCACAGGCCUUUGAUACCCUGGAAGCAGUACGCCGUCUUCACAACUCCGAGACAAAUUGUAGGCGCUACGAACCGGAGCAAGGACUAACCUCGCCUCAUAACGAGGCCAUGACCUCAUAUUUGCUCGGAGCUAUGUCUGCAAGUCCAGAUUUACAUGAUGCUGAUAAUGACGACAUU